rnacentral:rRNA from 1 species
UACGUAGGGUCCGAGCGUUGUCCGGAAUCAUUGGGCGUAAAGAGCGUGUAGGCGGCCCGGUAAGUCCGCUGUGAAAGUCGGGGGCUCAACCCUCGAAUGCCGGUGGAUACUGUCGGGCUAGAGUGCGGAAGAGGCGAGUGGAAUUCCUGGUGUAGCGGUGAAAUGCGCAGAUAUCAGGAGGAACACCGAUUGCGAAGGCAGCUCGCUGGGACGUCACUGACGCUGAGACGCGAAAGCGUGGGGAGCAAACAGG